UACAGAGGUGGCAAGCGUUGUUCGGAAUUACUGGGCGUAAAGGGCGCGUAGGCGGUCUUGUCAGUCCCUUGUGAAAUCCCCCGGCUCAACUGGGGAACUGCACGGGAAACAGCAGGGCUUGAGUUCGGGAGAGGGAAGCGGAAUUCCGGGUGUAGCGGUGAAAUGCGUAGAUAUCCGGAGGAACACCGGUGGCGAAGGCGGCUUCCUGGACCGAUACUGACGCUGAGGCGCGAAAGCUAGGGGAGCGAACAGG
rnacentral:rRNA from 1 species